UCUAGCUGGCUAAAGAGCGUUCGGGAUAGUGGUGAACGUCCCGGUUGGAUGUUGCCUCAUGUUUUUGAUGAAUUGGGUCAGUAUUGGAACACAGACAAGUUUAAGGCAAUAUCAGAUCAAGCCAAAAUGGCUAGAGGCAGUCUUAAAAGGUGGCUAGUUGCACACCGGAGGUGCAAAGACGGUUGGAACAAUUGCACGAGAGAUGGAAAAAGAAUUGGGACGCACUCUCAUUGAACCAGAGGUUUUCAAAAAGACUCAUGUCAGGAAGAAAGAAAAUGAGUCGGAUCCGGAUGUGUGGGUGGAGGAAAGGGCCGAACGAACUUUUAAUGACUUUCAUAAGUACGUCGCUGAGAAUUUAGAUAGUUUGGUUCAAUUGACACCUGAACUGUCCACUCAGAUUUGGAAAGAAAAAGUGGUAGGGGGGACACAC